UACGUAGGGGGCAAGCGUUGUCCGGAAUCAUUGGGCGUAAAGGGCGCGUAGGCGGCCCCAGUACGCGUGCCGUGAAAGCCCGGGGCUCAACCCCGGGUCGGCGGUGCGAACGGGGGGGCUGGAGCCGAUCAGAGGCGGGCGGAAUUCCGGGUGUAGCGGUGGAAUGCGUAGAGAUCCGGAAGAACACCGGGGGCGAAGGCGGCAUCCUGGCUCGGAACUGACGCUGAGGCGCGAGAGCGUGGGGAGCAAACCGG
rnacentral:rRNA from 1 species